AACGAACGCUGGCGGCAGGCUUAACACAUGCAAGUCGAGCGCCCCGCAAGGGGAGCGGCAGACGGGUGAGUAACGCGUGGGAAUCUACCCAUCUCUACGGGAUAACGCAUGGAAACGUGUGCUAAUACCGUAUACGUCCUUCGGGAGAAAGAUUUAUCGGAGAUGGAUGAGCCCGCGUUGGAUUAGCUAGUUGGUGGGGUAAAGGCCUACCAAGGCGACGAACCAUAGCUGGUCUGAGAAGAUGAUCAGCCACACUGGGACUGAGACACGGCCCAGACUCCUACGGGAGGCAGCAGUGGGGAAUAUUGGACAAUGGGCGCAAGCCUGAUCCAGCCAUGCCGCGUGAGUGAUGAAGGCCCUAGGGUUGUAAAGCUCUUUCACCGGUGAAGAUAAUGACGGUAACCGGAGAAGAAGCCCCGGCUAACUUCGUGCCAGCCGCCGCCGUAACAC
rnacentral:rRNA from 1 species